AGGACGAACGCUGGCGGCGUGCCUAAUACAUGCAAGUCGAACGGUCUUUCUAUGGAAGCUUGCUUCCACUGAGAAGAUAGUGGCGAACGGGUGAGUAACACGUGGGUAACCUGCCCAUAAGAGGGGGGAUAACAUCCGGAAACGGGUGCUAAUACCGCAUAGUUUUCUUGAUCGCAUGAUCGGGAAAGGAAAGACGGCCUUUGUGCUGUCGCUUAUGGAUGGACCCGCGGCGUAUUAGUUAGUUGGUGAGGUAACGGCUCACCAAGACGAUGAUACGUAGCCGACCUGAGAGGGUGAUCGGCCACAUUGGGACUGAGACACGGCCCAAACUCCUACGGGAGGCAGCAGUAGGGAAUCUUCCGCAAUGGACGAAAGUCUGACGGAGCAACGCCGCGUGAGUGAAAAAGGUUUUCGGAUCGUAAAACUCUGUUGUCAGAGAAGAACAAGUUGGAGAGUAACUGCUCCAGCCUUGACGGUAUCUGACCAGAAAGCCACGGCUAACUACGUGCCAGCCGCCGC
rnacentral:rRNA from 1 species